UACGUAGGGGGCAAGCGUUGUCCGGAUUUAUUGGGCGUAAAGAGCUCGUAGGCGGCUUGGCAAGUCGGGUGUGAAAACUCCAGGCUCAACCUGGAGAUGCCACUCGAGGCUGCUAUGGCUAGAGUCCGGUAGGGGACCACGGAAUUCCUGGUGUAGCGGUGAAAUGCGCAGAUAUCAGGAGGAACACCGGUGGCGAAGGCGGGUCUCUGGGCAGUAACUGACGCUGAGGAGCGAAAGCGUGGGUAGCAAACAGG
rnacentral:rRNA from 1 species